AUGAACGCUAGCUACAGGCUUAACACAUGCAAGUCGAGGGGCAGCAUUUUAGUUUGCUUGCAAACUGAAGAUGGCGACCGGCGCACGGGUGAGUAACACGUAUCCAACCUGCCGAUAACUCCGGAAUAGCCUUUCGAAAGAAAGAUUAAUACCGGAUAGUAUACGAAUAUCGCAUGGUAUUUUUAUUAAAGAAUUUCGGUUAUCGAUGGGGAUGCGUUCCAUUAGUUUGUUGGCGGGGUAACGGCCCACCAAGACUACGAUGGAUAGGGGUUCUGAGAGGAAGGUCCCCCACAUUGGAACUGAGACACGGUCCAAACUCCUACGGGAGGCAGCAGUGAGGAAUAUUGGUCAAUGGGCGAGAGCCUGAACCAGCCAAGUAGCGUGAAGGAUGAAGGCUCUAUGGGUCGUAAACUUCUUUUAUAUGGGAAUAAAGUUUUCCACGUGUGGAAUUUUGUAUGUACCAUAUGAAUAAGGAUCGGCUAACUCCGUGCCAGCAGCCGCGGUAAUACGGAGGAUCCGAGCGUUAUCCGGAUUUAUUGGGUUUAAAGGGAGCGUAGGUGGAUUGUUAAGUCAGUUGUGAAAGUUUGCGGCUCAACCGUAAAAUUGCAGUUGAAACUGGCAGUCUUGAGUACAGUAGAGGUGGGCGGAAUUCGUGGUGUAGCGGUGAAAUGCUUAGAUAUCACGAAGAACUCCGAUUGCGAAGGCAGCUCACUAGACUGUCACUGACACUGAUGCUCGAAAGUGUGGGUAUCAAACAGGAUUAGAUACCCUGGUAGUCCACACAGUAAACGAUGAAUACUCGCUGUUUGCGAUAUACAGUAAGCGGCCAAGCGAAAGCGUUAAGUAUUCCACCUGGGGAGUACGCCGGCAACGGUGAAACUCAAAGGAAUUGACGGGGGCCCGCACAAGCGGAGGAACAUGUGGUUUAAUUCGAUGAUACGCGAGGAACCUUACCCGGGCUUAAAUUGCAACAGAAUAUAUUGGAAACAGUAUAGCCGUAAGGCUGUUGUGAAGGUGCUGCAUGGUUGUCGUCAGCUCGUGCCGUGAGGUGUCGGCUUAAGUGCCAUAACGAGCGCAACCCUUAUCUUUAGUUACUAACAGGUUAUGCUGAGGACUCUAGAGAGACUGCCGUCGUAAGAUGUGAGGAAGGUGGGGAUGACGUCAAAUCAGCACGGCCCUUACGUCCGGGGCUACACACGUGUUACAAUGGGGGGUACAGAAGGCGGCUACCUGGUGACAGGAUGCUAAUCCCAAAAACCUCUCUCAGUUCGGAUCGAAGUCUGCAACCCGACUUCGUGAAGCUGGAUUCGCUAGUAAUCGCGCAUCAGCCAUGGCGCGGUGAAUACGUUCCCGGGCCUUGUACACACCGCCCGUCAAGCCAUGAAAGCCGGGGGUACCUGAAGUACGUAACCGCAAGGAGCGUCCUAGGGUAAAACUGGUAAUUGGGGCU
rnacentral:rRNA from 1 species